rfam:Strongylocentrotus purpuratus Contig68341_fixed, whole genome shotgun sequence.
GUAGGUUAUGGUGACAUGAAACCAAAAAGUACAGGUGCUAAAAUCGUAGGGUCGCUGUGCGCAAUAACGGGCGUAUUGACGAUCGCCUUACCUGUUCCCGUAAUCGUGUCCAAU